AGAAUUCGAUUUUCUAUUUUUAGGACGUCGUUCGAUUUUUACUGUUUAUUUUUAUACUCGCUUGGUAGUUUUUAUUAUGAUUUUAAAAAAGAUUAAAAUUUAUUUUUAAAAUAUUUUAAAUGUUUUAAAUUAUGUUUAACUAUAUAGAUUCAAUUCAGUAAUUUUAUUAUUAAAAAUAAUUUAUAAGUAUGAAAAACUCCCUACUCAUAAAAAUACAAGAGACAUGAAUCCAGCUACUAAUCCUUUUAGGAUGAUGGAGGUUUUCGUUUCCUAAAUCGUUUCAGAUGAUAGGAAUUUUGAAUCAAUGAUCGGAACCGUUAAAAUUAAUUACAGUAUUUAAAAUAUUUAGAAACUAAAUUUUAUGAAUUUUUAAAAAUUAUUUACUUAGUAAUCAAAGUAUCACAAAAUCGAUAAUUUUCACGGUCUAUAUAAGCCGUUCUCUUGUUUAACAGUGUAGAAUAAUCCAAACAAUUUGAAUUUUCGAUAAAAAUUUUUUUAUACUAUUUAGAUAACGUUCGGUAUCUCCGAUCAUGAAUUAAAAAAAGCCUAACUUCUAUUUUCACAAACUUACUCAUUUUUGAUAUUUUAUUUUUUGACUUUUUAAUGAACUCGAUAAGAAAUUUUGAAAUUUAUAAAAUAUAUUUUUUAGACAUUAUAAAUAAUCUAAAUUAACUUUAACAUUUUUAUUAUCAAUUCAAAAUUACUAUAAUUUAGAUUACUUAAAUUAUUUUAAAAUAAUUUAGAAUGACGAAAAUCUCGGUCCUCAUACUAAAAAAGAUUACGGAAAACUUCAAAAAACCCCCCCUGUGGUUUCGUAGUUUCUCACUUUGCCCCCCUGUGGUUUAAAAUGUAUCAAAUUGUCCCUCUGUGGUUUCGUUUUUAUUUUUUCAGUAGCUUUUUCGUUAAUAUUUUAUUAAAUUAUAUACAAAAAACUUCAGAUAUCCAUCUAGAUUUAUCAAAUAGUCACUUUAGUACCCUUUAAUUUUAACUUUAUCAUUGAUUUAAGAAAAAAAAUAAAUAAAAUUGAUAAGAAAAAGAGAAAAAAGAAACCACGGGGGAGUAAAUUGAUAUAUUUUAAACCACAGAGGGGGAAAAUGAGAAACUAUGAAACCAAAUAGCAAAUUUUUGAAGUUUUCCC
rnacentral:lncRNA from 1 species